rnacentral:rRNA from 1 species
ACGGAAGGCAGCAGUGGGGAAUAUUGCACAAUGGGCGCAAGCCUGAUGCAGCAACGCCGCGUGAAGGAAGACGGUUUUCGGAUUGUAAACUUCUGUUCUUAGUGAAGAAUUUGACGGUAGCUAAGGAGCAAGCCACGGCUAACUACGUGCCAGCAGCCGCGGUAAUACGUAGGUGGCAAGCGUUGUCCGGAAUUACUGGGUGUAAAGGGGGCGCAGGCGGGAGAUCAAGUCAGCUGUGAAAUCCAUGGGCUCAACCCAUGAACUGCAGUUGAAACUGUUCUUCUUGAGUGAAGUAGAGGUUGGCGGAAUUCCGAGUGUAGCGGUGAAAUGCGUAGAUAUUCGGAGGAACACCGGUGGCGAAGGCGGCCAACUGGGCUUUUACUGACGCUGAGGCCCGAAAGUGUGGGGAGCAAACAGGAUUAGAUACCCUGGUA